UACGUAGGGCGCAAGCGUUGUCCGGAAUUAUUGGGCGUAAAGAGCUCGUAGGCGGUCUGUCGCGUCGGAAGUGAAAACCCGGGGCUUAACCCCGGGCUUGCUUUCGAUACGGGCAGACUAGAGUGUGGUAGGGGAGACUGGAAUUCCUGGUGUAGCGGUGAAAUGCGCAGAUAUCAGGAGGAACACCGGUGGCGAAGGCGGAUCUCUGGGCCGAUACUGACGCUGAGGAGCGAAAGCGUAGGGAGCGAACAGG
rnacentral:rRNA from 1 species